GGGUUGUGAGGUUAAGCGACUAAGCGUACACGGUGGAUGCCCUGGCAGUCAGAGGCGAUGAAGGGCGUGCUAAUCUGCGAUAAGCGCCGGUAAGGUGAUAUGAACCGUUAUAACCGGCGAUACCCGAAUGGGGAAACCCAGUGUGACUCGUCACACUAUCAUUAACUGAAUCCAUAGGUUAAUGAGGCGAACCGGGGGAACUGAAACAUCUAAGUACCCCGAGGAAAAGAAAUCAACCGAGAUUCCCCCAGUAGCGGCGAGCGAACGGGGAGGAGCCCAGAGCCUGAAUCAGCAUGUGUGUUAGUGGAAGCGUCUGGAAAGGCGCGCGAUACAGGGUGACAGCCCCGUACACAAAAGCGCAUGUGCUGUGAGCUCGAUGAGUAGGGCGGGACACGUGGUAUCCUGUCUGAAUAUGGGGGGACCAUCCUCCAAGGCUAAAUACUCCUGACUGACCGAUAGUGAACCAGUACCGUGAGGGAAAGGCGAAAAGAACCCCGGCGAGGGGAGUGAAAAAGAACCUGAAACCGUGUACGUACAAGCAGUGGGAGCACAGGUUUACCUGUGUGACUGCGUACCUUUUGUAUAAUGGGUCAGCGACUUAUAUUCUGUAGCAAGGUUAACCGAAUAGGGGAGCCGGAGGGAAACCGAGUCUUAACCGGGCGUUAAGUUGCAGGGUAUAGACCCGAAACCCGGUGAUCUAGCCAUGGGCAGGUUGAAGGUUGGGUAACACUAACUGGAGGACCGAACCGACUAAUGUUGAAAAAUUAGCGGAUGACCUGUGGCUGGGGGUGAAAGGCCAAUCAAACCGGGAGAUAGCUGGUUCUCCCCGAAAGCUAUUUAGGUAGCGCCUCGUGAAUUCAUCUCCGGGGGUAGAGCACUGUUUCGGCUAGGGGGCCAUCCCGGCUUACCAACCCGAUGCAAACUGCGAAUACCGGAGAAUGUUAUCACGGGAGACACACGGCGGGUGCUAACGUCCGUCGUGAAGAGGGAAACAACCCAGACCGCCAGCUAAGGUCCCAAAGUCAUGGUUAAGUGGGAAACGAUGUGGGAAGGCCCAGACAGCCAGGAUGUUGGCUUAGAAGCAGCCAUCAUUUAAAGAAAGCGUAAUAGCUCACUGGUCGAGUCGGCCUGCGCGGAAGAUGUAACGGGGCUAAACCAUGCACCGAAGCUGCGGCAGCGAACGUAUCACUUAAAGCGAUUCAGCGGGUUACGAUUGACGGAGCGAAGCGACGUCAAAGCGUAUACAAAGUCGAGUCGGUUUAAGGAUACGUUCGUUGGGUAGGGGAGCGUUCUGUAAGCCUGUGAAGGUGGCCUGUGAGGGUUGCUGGAGGUAUCAGAAGUGCGAAUGCUGACAUAAGUAACGAUAAAGCGGGUGAAAAGCCCGCUCGCCGGAAGACCAAGGGUUCCUGUCCAACGUUAAUCGGGGCAGGGUGAGUCGACCCCUAAGGCGAGGCCGAAAGGCGUAGUCGAUGGGAAACAGGUUAAUAUUCCUGUACUUGGUGUUACUGCGAAGGGGGGACGGAGAAGGCUAUGUUGGCCGGGCGACGGUUGUCCCGGUUUAAGCGUGUAGGUGUGUGUUCCAGGUAAAUCCGGUUCACUUUAACACUGAGGCGUGAUGACGAGGCACUACGGUGCUGAAGCAACAAAUGCCCUGCUUCCAGGAAAAGCCUCUAAGCAUCAGGUAACAUCAAAUCGUACCCCAAACCGACACAGGUGGUCAGGUAGAGAAUACCAAGGCGCUUGAGAGAACUCGGGUGAAGGAACUAGGCAAAAUGGUGCCGUAACUUCGGGAGAAGGCACGCUGACACGUAGGUGAAGUGAUUUACUCACGGAGCUGAAGUCAGUCGAAGAUACCAGCUGGCUGCAACUGUUUAUUAAAAACACAGCACUGUGCAAACACGAAAGUGGACGUAUACGGUGUGACGCCUGCCCGGUGCCGGAAGGUUAAUUGAUGGGGUCAGCGCAAGCGAAGCUCCUGAUCGAAGCCCCGGUAAACGGCGGCCGUAACUAUAACGGUCCUAAGGUAGCGAAAUUCCUUGUCGGGUAAGUUCCGACCUGCACGAAUGGCGUAAUGAUGGCCAGGCUGUCUCCACCCGAGACUCAGUGAAAUUGAACUCGCUGUGAAGAUGCAGUGUACCCGCGGCAAGACGGAAAGACCCCGUGAACCUUUACUAUAGCUUGACACUGAACAUUGAGCCUUGAUGUGUAGGAUAGGUGGGAGGCUUUGAAGCGUGGACGCCAGUCUGCGUGGAGCCGACCUUGAAAUACCACCCUUUAAUGUUUGAUGUUCUAACGUGGACCCGUAAUCCGGGUUGCGGACAGUGUCUGGUGGGUAGUUUGACUGGGGCGGUCUCCUCCUAAAGAGUAACGGAGGAGCACGAAGGUUGGCUAAUCCUGGUCGGACAUCAGGAGGUUAGUGCAAUGGCAUAAGCCAGCUUGACUGCGAGCGUGACGGCGCGAGCAGGUGCGAAAGCAGGUCAUAGUGAUCCGGUGGUUCUGAAUGGAAGGGCCAUCGCUCAACGGAUAAAAGGUACUCCGGGGAUAACAGGCUGAUACCGCCCAAGAGUUCAUAUCGACGGCGGUGUUUGGCACCUCGAUGUCGGCUCAUCACAUCCUGGGGCUGAAGUAGGUCCCAAGGGUAUGGCUGUUCGCCAUUUAAAGUGGUACGCGAGCUGGGUUUAGAACGUCGUGAGACAGUUCGGUCCCUAUCUGCCGUGGGCGCUGGAGAACUGAGGGGGGCUGCUCCUAGUACGAGAGGACCGGAGUGGACGCAUCACUGGUGUUCGGGUUGUCAUGCCAAUGGCACUGCCCGGUAGCUAAAUGCGGAAGAGAUAAGUGCUGAAAGCAUCUAAGCACGAAACUUGCCCCGAGAUGAGUUCUCCCUGAGACUUUAGGUCUCCUGAAGGAACGUUGAAGACGACGACGUUGAUAGGCCGGGUGUGUAAGCGCAGCGAUGCGUUGAGCUAACCGGUACUAAUGAACCGUGAGGCUUAACCUUACAACGCCGAAG
rnacentral:rRNA from 1 species